rnacentral:rRNA from 1 species
GGAAGCCUACGGGAGGCAGCAGUGAGGGAUAUUGGUCAAUGGGCGGAAGCCUGAACCAGCCAAGUCGCGUGAGGGAAUAAGGCCCUACGGGUCGUAACCUCUUUUGCCGGGGAGCAAGGGCCGGGACGAGUCCCGGUCCGGAGAGUACCCGGAGAAAAAGCGUCGGCUAACUCCGUGCCAGCAGCCGCAGUAAUACGGAGGAUGCGAGCGUUAUCCGGAUUUAUUGGGUUUAAAGGGUGCAUAGGCGGGCUUUUAAGUCAGGGGUAAAAAUUCGGGGCUCAACCC